UUGCAUGUCAAAUGCCAACGGGAGAGACAGCUGGAGUAUCUAAACCAAGAGCUUUGAUCUUAGUAUCUGUAAAAAAGAGGUCAUUUGGUCUCCCCAGGAAGCACAGACAUUUAGAAGGUCCCUGUACAACUCAUGCAAGUAUUUUAUUAACAACAAUUUCUAUUCACAUGUAGGUAGAGAAGGCAAACUGUGGUUUCAGUGAGCAAGAAGGAUCAUCGAGAGGCUCAGUCACCACUCUCAUGUCAUGAAUAGUGGCCUCCUGUCCCCAUUUUGUCCUCUCUGACACAGCCAGUGACAGCUUCUUGCAACAGUUGUAUUAAACACUGAGCUCAGUCCUGCAAAACAGUGAUCAUUUCCAAAAGAUGCUGCGUGAGAUAGGGCAGGGCACUCGGCAUUUCCUGGAAAGCAAUUAGUCUUGAUGAGAUUGGGUUGCCCAACUCUCAUGUCACUAAUUAAAUCACAACUUUUCUUUCCUUUGGUAAAACAAAAGCUUGAUUCAUGAAUUAAAAUACAUAGUGAAUCUGAUUUUGACUCUGAUCCUCUGUAUGUUCGUAAUUAAACAACCAGCUCCUUUUAUGAAUUGAAAUAAAACUUCUGGGGCAUGGCAAAUUUUCACUCCUAAUAAUCGUGUUCGCUUGCAUCCAUGUGACUACACUUUAAUUGCUCAUUAAUACAGACAGACUUAAUGGGAUGACACACAACUAGCUUCUUCUUUUUGGACUUCUGUAACAACGACUUCUUUUUGUCUGGUAAGGAAACCAGACAUUUCUCAGAAUCAAUCAACUUUUCCUGUGCCUUACUCUCAUGCCCUGCUGUAAAGAAUAGUAAAAUUAUCUUGCUGUAAUGUUAUUAUUAAGGACUGGUUUUACUGUGAUGGCAUUAGAAGAAUUAGAUACAUACUUUCCACUCGUACUGAUUUGACUAUGUCUAUUUUCCCCAUGUGCAGCCUGAAAAAACUAUUUGAUGCUGUACUUAGAACUGAUCACUUAGAAAUGAUUACUCGGAGGUCAUCAACAGUUGUUAACAUGAACAAAUUGUCAUAAAAAACAUAUUUUCUUCAGUGCUGGCUAUUUUUCAAUAAAAAUGUUUAAACUGAA